rnacentral:rRNA from 1 species
UACGUAGGGGGCGAGCGUUGUCCGGAAUCAUUGGGCGUAAAGCGCGUGUAGGCGGCCCGGUAAGUCCGCUGUGAAAGUCCAGGGCUCAACCCUGGGAUGCCGGUGGAUACUGUCGGGCUCGAGUCCGGAAGAGGCGAGUGGAAUUCCUGGUGUAGCGGUGAAAUGCGUAGAUAUCUGGAGGAACACCGGUGGCGAAGGCGGCAUCCUGGACCGGUAUUGACACUGAGGCGCGAAAGCCAGGGGAGCAAACGGG